UGCCCCGCCCCUUCCCCGGCCUCUGCCUGCUUCUCUGCACGCCAGCUGGCCGAUCCCAAUGCCUCUCUCGCUCGCACGCUUCUCUGGAGGACGUAAUCACAGCUCUUUGAGAUGCUUUCCUGAAAGCUUUCACAAUCAACUAGAGUCCAAAAGUGCUUCUUCUUCAGUGAAAUUGAUGGAAAAGACUCUGACAAGUACUCUGGAUUACAGUUUUCUAACAACUUAGAAACCAUACCACUGAACUGGGCACUGAGGAAAAGCCAUGUGAGCACACAAUGAGAAGGCGGUCUGCAAGCCAGAAAGCAUGUUCUCACCAGACACUAAAUCAGGCAGUGCCUUGGUCUUGGACUCUCCAGCCUACAGAACUGUGAG